GGGAAACAUUUUAUUGAAGCUUCGGCAGAUAUAGCUUGUUUCUAGUGGCGGACGGGUGAGUAACGCGUGGGUAACCUGCCUCACACUGGGGGAUAACAGUCAGAAAUGGCUGCUAAUACCGCAUAAGCGCACAGCAUCGCAUGAUGCAGUGUGAAAAACUCCGGUGGUGUGAGAUGGACCCGCGUUGGAUUAGCUAGUUGGCAGGGCAGCGGCCUACCAAGGCGACGAUCCAUAGCCGGCCUGAGAGGGUGAACGGCCACAUUGGGACUGAGACACGGCCCAGACUCCUACGGGAGGCAGCAGUGGGGAAUAUUGCACAAUGGGGGAAACCCUGAUGCAGCGACGCCGCGUGAAGGAAGAAGUAUCUCGGUAUGUAAACUUCUAUCAGCGGGGAAGAAAAUGACGGUGCCUGACUAAGAAGCCCCGGCUAACUACGUGCCAGCAGCCGCGGUAAUACGUAGGGGGCAAGCGUUAUCCGGAUUUACUGGGUGUAAAGGGAGCGUAGACGGUGUUGCAAGUCUGAUG
rnacentral:rRNA from 1 species